UACGAAGGGGGGCUAGCGUUGCUCGGAAUGACUGGGCGUAAAGGGCGCGUAGGCGGCUCAUACAGUCAGGCGUGAAAUUCCUGGGCUCAACCUGGGGGACUGCGCUUGAGACGUGUGGGCUUGAGUGGGGGAAGAGGGGUCGUGGAAUUCCCAGUGUAGAGGUGAAAAUUCGUAGAUAUUGGGAAGAACACCGGUGGCGAAGGCGGCGACCUGGUCCUUGACUGACGCUGAGGCGCGAAAAGCGUGGGGGAGCAAAACAGG
rnacentral:rRNA from 1 species